UACGUAGGGGGCAAGCGUUGUCCGGAAUUAUUGGGCGUAAAGAGCUCGUAGGCGGCUUGUCACGUCGGAUGUGAAAGCCCGGGGCUUAACCCCGGGUCUGCAUUCGAUACGGGCUAGCUAGAGUGUGGUAGGGGAGAUCGGAAUUCCUGGUGUAGCGGUGAAAUGCGCAGAUAUCAGGAGGAACACCGGUGGCGAAGGCGGAUCUCUGGGCCAUUACUGACGCUGAGGAGCGAAAGCAUGGGGAGCGAACAGG
rnacentral:rRNA from 1 species